rnacentral:rRNA from 1 species
UGGGGAAUAUUGCACAAUGGGCGAAAGCCUGAUGCAGCGACGCCGCGUGAGGGAUGACGGCCUUCGGGUUGUAAACCUCUUUCAGCAGGGAAGAAGCGAAACGUGACGGUACCUGCAGAAGAAGCGCCGGCUAACUACGUGCCAGCAGCCGCGGUAAUACGUAGGGCGCAAGCGUUGUCCGGAAUUAUUGGGCGUAAAGAGCUCGUAGGCGGUUAGUCGCGUCUGCUGUGAAAACUCGAGGCUCAACCUCGGGCUUGCAGUGGGUACGGGCUGACUAGAGUGCAGUAGGGGUGACUGGAAUUCCUGGUGUAGCGGUGGAAUGCGCAGAUAUCAGGAGGAACACCGAUGGCGAAGGCAGGUCACUGGGCCGCAACUGACGCUGAGGAGCGAAAGCAUGGGGAGCGAACAGGAUUAGAUACCCUGGUAGUCCAUGCCGUAAACGUUGGGCACUAGGUGUGGGUCCAUUCCACGGAUUCCGUGCCGCAGC